AGGCUUAUAUAUUUGGUGUAAUUGCUUAAAAGGAAAAAUUUAUAUAUAAACUUAGGGCUUUCCUUAUUUUGAAGCUUGAUUGAAUGAUUAGUGAUAGCCAGAAGCCCAGCGUUUUCUUGAGGAAAAUUCUCUCUAUCCCCACAACGGUACAUUCUUUAUAAAAUAAACAUCUUUCUUUGCCAAUUAUGAUUAUCAUCCAUAACUUGAUACUUUUGACUUUUUAAAAG
rnacentral:lncRNA from 1 species